AUACGAAGGGUGCAAGCGUUACUCGGAAUUACUGGGCGUAAAGCGUGCGUAGGUGGUUGUUUAAGUCUGUCGUGAAAGCCCUGGGCUCCACCUGGGAAUGGCGAUGGAAACUGGGCGACUAGAGUGUGGCAGAGGGUAGUGGAAUUCCUGGUGUAGCAGUGAAAUGCGUAGAGAUCAGGAGGAACAUCCGUGGCGAAGGCGACUGCCUGGGCCAACACUGACACUGAGGCACGAAAGCGUGGGGAGCAAACAGGAUUAGAUACCCUGGUAGUCCACGCCCUAAACGAUGCGAACUGGAUGUUGGGUGCAAUUUGGCACGCAGUAUCGAAGCUAACGCGUUAAGUUCGCCGCCUGGGGAGUACGGUCGCAAGACUGAAACUCAAAGGAAUUGACGGGG
rnacentral:rRNA from 1 species